GGAGAUUUAGCUCAGCGGCAUAAGCGCCUGCCUUGCAAGCAGGCAGUCUUGAGUUCGAUUCCCAGUACCG
rnacentral:tRNA from 1 species